rnacentral:rRNA from 1 species
GUAAUGUAGCGUAAUCAAUAGCCAAUUAAUUGUUGGCCGGUAUGAAUGGCAUCACGAAGGCCCCGCUGUCUUAAGAGGACUCUCCAUGAAAUUGAAUUCGUAGUGAAGAUGCUACGUCCAUAUUGUAAGACGAAAAGACCCCAUUGAGCUUUACUAAAGACUUGUAUGGCUCGAAAUAACUUAAAUAAAAAGUUUAGAUAAUGUGGGAUCCGUUUUUGGUUAAUGAAACACCACUCUUUUAUUUUAAGAGAGCUAACCUUGUAGGGAGAAUGCAAGUUGGAUAGUUUGGUUGGGGCGACCACCUUUUAAAAGGUAACGAAGGUGAGCUUAAGGUCCGUAGUUAAUAGCUAGUGGCCUGACUGCAAGGGGGACAUCCCGAGCAGACACUGGUAAUCUCUCAGUGGGUUAUAGUGACCCGUCAUCUUAGAGUGGAAUAGUUGACGAUCAACGAAUAAAA